UGAAAAAUCUACAAAAAUUGCAGAUAGUGAAAAAAUUUAUUUCUUGAGUUCAUGGGAGUAAUUUCACAUAGGAAAAAAAUUACGUUCUCACAAAUAGCAUACCAAACAUGCUGGUUAACAUGCGACAAUUCACUUAAUGAGAAAUACUAAUAUUAUCAAUUAUAACACAAAGGUCUAAAUAACACUCAUAUAUCUAAAAUAGGUUAUAGGACUGGUAUGCGAUAGGGCUUGACUAAAUAUGGAAGGAUACGCUAGGUAUUGAAUUCAUCCUAGAAUUCUUAGGUAGUACCGAAGAACAUAAGAUUAAUCAGGGCAAGGCAUACAUUAGAAUUCGCAGGUAGUGAAAUAAAAUGUUUGGCUAAUAACAUGAUCACAAAAUAACUCUAAGAAAACAUUAAGUUAUACAAGAAUGAUUCAACAAGAAUUAAAACACAUUCUAUGCAUGGAUUGGUUUAUCACAAGAAUCUAUUAAACGCGAAGAGAUAAACUCAUAAUAAGCAGCAGUAAGCAUUGAAACACACACACUAGGGUGAGCAUACUUAAGAAAGCUAGGAUAAAGGCUUAAAAUUAGGAAAAUUUAGAUACUACAGAAGUAUAGAGCCUCAACAAUAAUUUCAUAGCAGAUAAGGAUCAAAUAAUAGCAUGUUGAUUCACAAAUUUUUAGGCAUAUAGAUAUACAUAAUAAGAACUUAAACAAAAAAGGAAUGAAAUUUCAAGGGCUAGAGGUACUUACCAAUUACAAAAAUGAACAAGUAAACAAGAAAAAUAAUUUUACCAGGACUACAGUAACCAAUAGUACAAGAGAGUAGCAUAACCCCAAACCCAGUGUGUCAAAUUUCAAGAAGGAUUCAGAUGAUACUCGAGCAAUGCUCACUCCGGGAAGGCCGAUAAAACGAACUCUGGUGGCCUUGGUUUUAAGCCUGCCAAGAACCAAAAUUGUUAUAAUAUUGUGAGAGAGUGAUACUAAUAGUAAAAGUAGUCAAGUGGUAGUCGUUGAUACCUAAAGGGGAAUCAGUGAAGAGGGUUUAUAUAGUAACUAAAUCAACGAGUAAGCAAGGAUAACAAAAUUAAACAAACACAAACAUGGAAAGGAGAAAGAUACACAUCCAAUUAGUAAAAUAACCGAAAAGGAAAGAAAUCAACACCAAGCCCAAAUUAGGGUUCCACACUUAAAAUUGUUCAAUUGGUAUAAAGAAUCAAGCCUUUCUUCAUGUAUAUAGACGAAAUGUUAUUCAACUUUUUAAGAUAGAACGCAAUUCCAGUCUGAUCUUGAGACGCGUGAUACAAUAGACAUGUGGCUAGUAGCGUGGAAACACAUAUAUGGUAAGCAAAUAAUGGAGGAAUCUUAUUCUUAAAGGAAAUGUAGAGCGAGUUAAGGGGAGGGAGGCUAGGGUCAUUCAGAGAAAGUGGGAGGGUAAAGAGAAUUUAGGUGUGGCGGCUUAGGAGAAUGGAUAUUUAGGGUUGGGUUAUGGACACAUAAGGAAAGACAUGGGAGGAUAGUAGAGAUGGGGCGGGUCAGUG
rnacentral:lncRNA from 1 species